rnacentral:rRNA from 1 species
AGAUUGAACGCUGGCGGCAUGCUUUACACAUGCAAGUCGAACGGCAGCGCGGGGCAACCUGGCGGCGAGUGGCGAACGGGUGAGUAAUAUAUCGGAACGUACCCAAGAGUGGGGGAUAACGUAGCGAAAGUUACGCUAAUACCGCAUACGAUCUAAGGAUGAAAGCAGGGGACCGCAAGGCCUUGUGCUCCUGGAGCGGCCGAUAUCUGAUUAGCUAGUUGGUAGGGUAAAGGCCUACCAAGGCUACGAUCAGUAGCUGGUCUGAGAGGACGACCAGCCACACUGGAACUGAGACACGGUCCAGACUCCUACGGGAGGCAGCAGUGGGGAAUUUUGGACAAUGGGCGCAAGCCUGAUCCAGCAAUGCCGCGUGAGUGAAGAAGGCCUGGUGUAAAGCUCUUUUGUCAGGAAGAACGGUAGGGAGCGUAAUAUCUCCCACUAAUGACGUACCGUGAACGAAUAAGCACCGGCUAACUACCGUAGCCAGCAGCCGA